UGGCUCUCGCAUCGAUGAAGAACGCAGCGAAAUGCGAUAAGUAAUGUGAAUUGCAGAAUUCAGUGAAUCAUCGAAUCUUUGAACGCACCUUGCGCUCCUUGGUAUUCCGAGGAGCAUGCCUGUUUGAGUGUCAUUAAAUUCUCAACCAUUCAAGUUUUUAACAAACUUUGACUGGCUUGGAUCGUGGGACUUGUGGGCUUCGAAGGAAGUCAACUGUCCUUAAAUGUAUUAGCGAGGCUCUUGUUACAAACCUCUGGUGUGAUAACUAUCUACGCCGUUGAGAUGUGACAUUUGUGAGCAUAGCUUCUAACCGUCUCCUUCAGACAAUCAUUGACAAUCUGACCUCAAAUCAGGUAGGACUACCCGCUGA
rnacentral:misc_RNA from 1 species